AUGCUCACCUUGCAACACAUACACUAAAACUGGAACAAUACCAAGAAGAUUAGCACAGUAGCUACACAAGAAAGACAGAGAAGUUCAUGAAGUGCUGCAUUAAAUU
ensembl:snRNA RNU6-1170P RNA, U6 small nuclear 1170, pseudogene